rnacentral:rRNA from 1 species
AACGCGAAGAACCUUACCAGCUUUUGACAUGUCCGGUAUGGUCGCCAGAAAUGGUUUCCUUCAGUUCGGCUGGCCGGAACACAGGUGCUGCAUGGCUGUCGUCAGCUCGUGUCGUGAGAUGUUGGGUUAAGUCCCGCAACGAGCGCAACCCUCGCCCUUAGUUGCCAUCAUUCAGUUGGGCACUCUAGGGGGACUGCCGGUGAUAAGCCGCGAGGAAGGUGGGGAUGACGUCAAGUCCUCAUGGCCCUUACAGGCUGGGCUACACACGUGCUACAAUGGCGGUGACAAUGGGAUGCAAAAGGGCGACCUCUCGCAAAUCUCAAAAAGCCGUCUCAGUUCGGAUUGCACUCUGCAACUCGAGUGCAUGAAGGUGGAAUCGCUAGUAAUCGCAGAUCAGCACGCUGCGGUGAAUACGUUCCCGGGCCUUGUACACACCGGUACUA